GAGUUUGAUCCUGGCUCAGGAUGAACGCUUGCGACAGGCUUAACACAUGCAAGUCGAGGGGCAGCACAGGUAGCAAUACCGGGUGGCGACCGGCGCACGGGUGAGUAACGCGUAUGCAACUUGCCUAUCAGAGGGGGAUAACCCGGCGAAAGUCGGACUAAUACCGCAUGAAGCAGGGGCCCCGCAUGGGGAUAUUUGCUAAAGAUUCAUCGCUGAUAGAUAGGCAUGCGUUCCAUUAGGCAGUUGGCGGGGUAACGGCCCACCAAACCGACGAUGGAUAGGGGUUCUGAGAGGAAGGUCCCCCACAUUGGUACUGAGACACGGACCAAACUCCUACGGGAGGCAGCAGUGAGGAAUAUUGGUCAAUGGGCGUAAGCCUGAACCAGCCAAGUCGCGUGAGGGAUGAAGGUUCUAUGGAUCGUAAACCUCUUUUAUAAGGGAAUAAAGUGCGGGACGUGUCCCGUUUUGUAUGUACCUUAUGAAUAAGGAUCGGCUAACUCCGUGCCAGCAGCCGCGGUAAUACGGAGGAUCCGAGCGUUAUCCGGAUUUAUUGGGUUUAAAGGUUGCGUAGGCGGCCUUUUAAGUCAGCGGUGAAAGUCUGUGGCUCAACCAUAGAAUUGCCGUUGAAACUGGGGGGCUUGAGUAUGUUUGAGGCANGCGGAAUGCGUGGUGU
rnacentral:rRNA from 1 species